GUUUGAUCCUGGCUCAGGAUGAACCCUAGCGGCAGGCUUAACACAUGCAAGUCGAGGGGUAUAGUUCUUCGGAAUUAGAGACCGGCGCACGGGUGCGUAACGCGUAUGCAAUCUACCUUUCACAGAGGGAUAGCCCAGAGAAAUUUGGAUUAAUACCUCAUAGUAUAGUACAAUCGCAUGAUUGAACUAUUAAAGUCACAACGGUGAAAGAUGAGCAUGCGUCCCAUUAGCUAGUUGGUAAGGUAACGGCUUACCAAGGCUACGAUGGGUAGGGGUCCUGAGAGGGAGAUCCCCCACACUGGUACUGAGACACGGACCAGACUCCUACGGGAGGCAGCAGUGAGGAAUAUUGGACAAUGGGCGCAAGCCUGAUCCAGCCAUGCCGCGUGCAGGAUGACGGUCCUAUGGAUUGUAAACUGCUUUUGCACAGGAAGAAACAACGCUACGUGUAGCGUCUUGACGGUACUGUGAGAAUAAGGAUCGGCUAACUCCGUGCCAGCAGCCGCGGUAAUACGGAGGAUCCAAGCGUUAUCCGGAAUCAUUGGGUUUAAAGGGUCCGUAGGCGGUUUAGUAAGUCAGUGGUGAAAGCCCAUCGCUCAACGGUGGAACGGCCAUUGAUACUGCUAGACUUGAAUUAUUAGGAAGUAACUAGAAUAUGUAGUGUAGCGGUGAAAUGCUUAGAGAUUACAUGGAAUACCAAUUGCGAAGGCAGGUUACUACUAAUGGAUUGACGCUGAUGGACGAAAGCGUGGGUAGCGAACAGGAUUAGAUACCCUGGUAGUCCACGCCGUAAACGAUGGAUACUAGCUGUUGGGAGCGAUCUCAGUGGCUAAGCGAAAGUGAUAAGUAUCCCACCUGGGGAGUACGUUCGCAAGAAUGAAACUCAAAGGAAUUGACG
rnacentral:rRNA from 1 species